UAUUUACAGUUUGGAAUCAAGAUGUCUUGGGCUGUAAAUGGUCAGGCCGCUUACAAGGGGAGAUCCAAGGCGGCACCCGCGAGGGUGGUUUCAGGUAUGAAAUCGACAGGUACUAAAUCAGUGAACAGAGGGGCAAACAACGCUAUCACGGUAAAAAAAAGCGGCAGUUACCAGUAACGAGGAAAUAUUAAGAGAUCACGGACAAAAGGGGGGAUUGGCAGCCGCUGCUUGGGUUGUAAGUUUUGUCCAGUCGAAUGUGUUCAGCAACA
rnacentral:ncRNA from 1 species